rnacentral:rRNA from 1 species
GACGAACGCUGGCGGCGUGCUUAACACAUGCAAGUCGAACGGAAAGGCCCUGCUUUUGUGGGGUGCUCGAGUGGCGAACGGGUGAGUAACACGUGAGUAACCUGCCCUUGACUUUGGGAUAACUUCAGGAAACUGGGGCUAAUACCGGAUAGGAGCUCCUGCUGCAUGGUGGGGGUUGGAAAGUUUCGGCGGUUGGGGAUGGACUCGCGGCUUAUCAGCUUGUUGGUGGGGUAGUGGCUUACCAAGGCUUUGACGGGUAGCCGGCCUGAGAGGGUGACCGGCCACAUGGGGACUGGGAUACGGCCCAGACUCCUACGGGAGGAAGCAGUGGGGAAUAUUGCACAAGGGGCGGAAGCCUGAUGCAGCAACGCCGCGUGCGGGAUGACGGCCUUCGGGUUGUAAACCGCUUUCGCCGGUGACGAAGCGUGAGUGACGGUAAUUGGUAAAGAAGCACCGGCUAACUACGUG